rnacentral:rRNA from 1 species
UACGAAGGGGGCUAGCGUUGCUCGGAAUUACUGGGCGUAAAGGGCGCGUAGGCGGCCCUGUUAGUCAGGCGUGAAAUCCCCGGGCUCAACCUGGGAACUGCAUUUGUGACUGUAGAGCUGGAGUACGGUAGAGGGGGAUGGAAUUCCGCGUGUAGCAGUGAAAUGCGUAGAUAUGCGGAGGAACACCGAUGGCGAAGGCAAUCCCCUGGACCUGUACUGACGUUCAUGCACGAAAGCGUGGGGAGCAAACAGG